UGAAAGUGUGCACGUGCUGUUGAUUACAUUACGUUAUUGUCGCUUUACCAUGGCUACCAACAGCGAGAAAUGGGCAAACGUAAGUUUGAACAAUAAAGAAAAACGUGUAGUACGUGUUAAAGAUAUAUUGAAAUUCAACCCUGGCAAUUAUGACAAACGAAAAUAAUAUUAUAUGAUUAUUGACGGGGUUACUGUGAAAGGCAUUAUAUUAUUUAUGAAAGACAGUAAAGAAGAGAUUGAAAGAACAAUCAAUACGAAAAGAGUACCAGUGCCAUCAAGGAGUUAUGAACGAAGUGCAUCAGAACUUAGUGAAUCUGAAGCUGACUCAUUGACUUAAGAUUGUAGUAAUAAUAUUCUUACUUCAUUAGGAAUAAAAAAAAAAUCUAAAAUUGCUUCAACGUCCGAAGCAAAAAAGAAAAAUAAAACUGCUUCGAUGUCAGAAGGGAAAAAUAAAUUUACUAGCACACCGUCAUCAGAAGCUUAAAAAGCCAGUAAAAUGGCUUCUGCUAAUGAUAAUAGUGAAAAGAAAAUAGAAAUUUUGAUGGCUGCAUCGUUGAAGAGAAAAAAUUCAAAAGAACCGCCAUCAAAUUUUCCUGGAAAAAAAGCGAUGAUAAUGUUAAAGAAAAAUAUCGUAGAUGAGUUACAGAAAGACUUACAAUGUCAAAAUAUUGCUGCUGUGAGUAUUUUUCAUGACAAAUUUUUUUUUGUGUAUGGUAAACUAAAAGUAAAAUACUAAACUAAGAGUAAAGUA